rnacentral:tRNA from 1 species
UUGGUGGAAGAAACGGGAGAAGUCCCCGGAGAUCUUUCUGAUCUCAUCUCGUUGCGCUUGCACCGCAAGCUGCGGGGACUGGUUGGGGGGGCAGCUGCC